CAUGUUUUGGGUGUGAUUUUUCAUAUUUUGAAUGUGAUUCUCAUAAGCUAUAAUUAUUAGCUUCAACGUCCUAACUGUGAUUCUCAUACUAUUGUCUUCUCAAUUUUUAGAUUUUUUUAGUCUGAGUGGGCGUGUGUAUAUCUUCUACUUCUUCUUUUUUCAAAGACAACUGAUGUAUUAUUAAACACUCAAUUGUAGCAGAAGGUGUACCAAACUAAAUCCAAAAUGUCUUACAAAAGAUUUGACAAAAUAGAAACAAGGCAUAUUGCCACCUUUUGACCAAUAUGCCUCCAAGACUAAUACUCUAUUCUACCAACAAAUACAAUACACCUCGUGACCUUACUACCACAGGAGUAUAUGCUUUUAAAACCCUAAAAAAAAUCUCCAAAAAGAAUACUGUAAAAUAUUAAACUAAAUAUAUUCAUCUUCUGCAUGCGUAUGUGGCGUAAUUAAACUCCAUAAAAGCAACAUACUAGUGUGUAUACGUAGCAGAAUCACGAUGAUGAAUCCCCACCAACAGCAUUACACGACUCUGUUGAAGGAACCAAAGAUGUCUAAGUUACCAAUUGAAUUUAAUUAUUUAGGUAAAUAUAGAGGAUAAUAUAGAUGAGUUUCUUU
rnacentral:lncRNA from 1 species